GAUUCCUUUCCCCUCAUCUGUCAGGAAGGACAGCGCUGAGGCAAUGCUGAGGUGGACAGAGUGGUGCUCCCCACGCUGCCAGCUCUGCUGCAGUGCGUGUGGCUAAUGCUGAGUACCAGGCAUUGUGUUUUGGUGGAGCUGGGCCAGAAAGGAAGAAAAAAAACCAUAAAAUCAUGGAAUCAUUAAAGUUGGAAAAGGCCUCUAAGGUCUAGUCCAACUAUUAACCCAGUGCUGCCAAACCCAUCACUAACCGAUGUCCCCAGCUGCCACAUCCAUGCACUUUUUGAACACUGAUAUGAGGCUCAAGGAACCCCUUGGCCAAGUUACUUCACUCCUGCCUCAGUUUCCUCUCUGCGUGGACUCUCACCAGGUGCCUUCCAGGGGCUGGAGAGUCCUGAACCUGCCACUGCCCAGAGCUGGAAGCACUGCCUGGGGAUGAGCCAUGCUGGGGUGAUGAGCCUGGAGCACAGAGCAAACCCUGUGUCCCUGCACACCCCUCCUGGGAAAGAGGGCAGGCUGGGGGGAGCCCUGGUGUUUCCAGAGGAAGUUUUCCCUGCACAGAUCCAGCAAGGCUGCGGUGCUAGCGGUUCUCUGCAUGUUCAUGCAUAUGUGGUGUAAAUUGCCUGCCAGACACCCAGGCAUGGGGCACAGAAGGGCUCUGGAGAGCAGACUGGGAACAGGAAAAUGGAGCCUUGUUUUAGCCCUGCUGCCUUUUUCAGAGGCUCCUUUCCAAUGGGAACACCAGCUCCCCUGUGCCCGGAGCAGUGAGUGGGUAACAGCACCCCUUGAGGAGGGGAGGAGGAAGCUGCCAGCUACUCGCCAGGCUGCUCACCCCAUGGGAGCAAACUGCUGUGGGUUCUGCUGGGAAAGAAGCACUAAUGGAGCUCCCCCAAAGUCCCAGCACAAAUUUGGUACCUGGUCUGGAGAGGCCAGUGACGUGACGGCCACUGCCCAUCACCAGGUGCUCCAGAGGAAGCUGUGGGCACCCCAUGUUACUGGUGGGGAAAAUCUGCAUGCGUCUUUAGGUUUCCUCUGGAGGCAUGAGCAGCACAGGAAUCAGUCACCAGCGGACAAGCACAAACACAGCUGCAAAUGGCAACCCUGCUGCUGGGGAAAGCAGACGGAGUAAGAGCAACACGGAGCUCUUCAGAGCAAUUCAUGCUUCCAAGCACUUUAAUGCACAUCACCUCACUAAUCCGACACUCUCAAUGAGCAGUUCUUGUCAGUUUGAUUUUGUGCAACUUGCAAAAUGUACCUUAUUUCACUGUAAAAUGAAAAUCCCAGUCUUCUCUUUUACUUAGCUUCUUAUUUAGGAGAUAAUUCAACAAAAAAAGGCAAACCAGAUGGUUCUUCCUUCCUCUCUACCACCUGUUUCAGGCAGAGGGGAUGGCAUUUGCAUCACUCAGCUGCUCUGCAGAGCUCAAGUGGUCUCUGAGCAUUGUCAUCCUGUUCCCUGAGGUCGUUGUCCCCUGUGUGGGACCACCGACCUCACCCUACAGCAAGGUCACUUGGUGGCCACUUCAUCACCUGGGGUUAGGAUAGUAGUUUCCUUGCAUGUGGAUUAUUGUUCUUAGUGCACCUCAAAUUGUGCAGCCCUUAUAUAGGGGAUUGUUCCCUUCAAUGUUUCCUGCUGAGCUUGAGAGCCCCAAGGAUGCAAACCCCAUCAAUUCUAGGCUGUUGGUUGUUGAUUUUCACAUUGGAGCUGUUUCUGUCAACAGCACAUGCUCCUCUUGCGCAUCAAAACCUACACUUGAACUGGUGAGUGAUUCACAAUCAUCCACAGUGUAAGGAAUUGGCAAACAAACUGUGAUCCCUUAUUUAGAUUUAUGGGAUAUGGACUGAAGGAGUUAGUCUUCCAACUUGAUCUGCUGGACUGCUUUGGUCAGCUCUUGGAAUGCAGCUGAGCAGGGGCCUUGGUGGCACCAGCUCAGCUGCUGUUGGCCUUGCACAGGAGAGGGGGUUUGUCACCAUGUCACCUUUCAAACCCAGUGCUGGGUGAGGUGACCUUGGUUGUGAAUGCAGAUUAAACUCCAGACGAGGAGGAGCAAAAGCCACAUCUCCAGCAGAUGAUGUCUGUUGUUUUUCCCCAGGAAUGGAGAACACAACUUCAUCUUGAGGGCUUUUCCUUAGGAGAAGCCACUCCAGUGCUUGUGCUCUUGAACUUCUGAGGUGAUUGAAAAUUGCAUUCUUAGAAAUGAGAAGAGGAAUUUAAAAAGUCCGAAGACUACUCAGUUCAAAAUAACUUCUGUUUUUGAGAGCCUGGACUUUGACUUGGGAAUCCUUCAAAGCUGGAAGCACCACGAGCCAUGUCCUCUGGCUGGAAAAGUGGAUGGUUUGGCCAGGUGAGCUCAGGUCAGGCUAUAUCAAACAAGUUCUUGAGCAUGUCAGAGCAACCACACCUUGCAGAACUUGCCUGGCUCUUCAGAUGCAGGAGGUAUUUAUCCCAGCUUUUGCCAGACUUCACAAAAGACUCCUGCAUGCUUCUACCCUCACGUGCCAUGGCCUGUGUGACUUGGUAUCUUAAAACAGUCUCUGCUACUGAUGUACCACUGGGCUUCCAACUCGAUGCUUCAGGAACAAAGCUGUCAGCUCAGGCCAAAACUGGUAAUUGGAAAACCGGAAAACCAGAAAGGAAAGGGAUGAACGGGAAGUGAGGCAGGAACAAGAGAAGAGGCAGUGAGGAGAGAGAUGCUGGAUGAUGGUAAAGAAAGAAAGCAGAAUAGGAACCAAGCAUGGAGGCCUCCAGCCAAGCCACCCCAUGCUUCUCUCAGCCUGUCAGUGUUUGGGUUUCUCUGAACUUAGAAAAUUCCCACAUAAAGAUUUUUUUAUCUUAUCACCAAGGCUUCUAAGUGCAACCCAAACUAAGAGACAUUACAUAGAAUAAAUGCUUAAACAGUAAACCCACAGAAAUCACAAGCAAAAGGUGCAUUUGUUAUUCCUAUAUUUACUCUGGGAGCUUCAGUGAGGAUUGGAGGUACCAGUGGGAGAGGAACCACCAGGAAUCAAGGGGAACUUGGUAAAGCUGUGAGGAAAGCAGGAAGGAGAGGACCA